AGAGUUUGAUUAUGGCUCAGGACGAACGCUGGCGGCGCGCCUAACACAUGCAAGUCGAACGAGCGAGAGGGAGCUUGCUUUCUCGAGCGAGUGGCGAACGGGUGAGUAACGCGUGAGGAACCUGCCCCAAAGAGGGGGACAACAGUUGGAAACGACUGCUAAUACCGCAUAAGCCCACGGGUCGGCAUCGACCAGAGGGAAAAGGAGCAAUCCGCUUUGAGAUGGCCUCGCGUCCGAUUAGCUAGUUGGUGAGGUAACGGCCCACCAAGGCGACGAUCGGUAGCCGGACUGAGAGGUUGAACGGCCACAUUGGGACUGAGACACGGCCCAG
rnacentral:rRNA from 1 species